rnacentral:rRNA from 1 species
CUGGCUCAGGAUGAACGCUGGCGGCGUGCCUAACACAUGCAAGUCGAACGGAGAAUAUACGUUUCAGAAGCUUCGGCAGAUGAUUGUAUAUUCUUAGUGGCGG